rnacentral:rRNA from 1 species
CAGUAGCCACGGUAAUACAGAGGGUGCGAGCGUUAAUCGGAUUUACUGGGCGUAAAGCGUGCGUAGGCGGCUUCUUAAGUCGGAUGUGAAAUCCCUGAGCUUAACUUAGGAAUUGCAUUCGAUACUGGGAAGCUAGAGUAUGGGAGAGGAUGGUAGAAUUCCAGGUGUAGCGGUGAAAUGCGUAGAGAUCUGGAGGAAUACCGAUGGCGAAGGCAGCCAUCUGGCCUAAUACUGACGCUGAGGUACGAAAGCAUGGGGAGCAAACAGGAUUAGAUACCCCCGUAGUCCCUGUCUCUUAUAU